ACAGGAGAGGGCAGGGGAAUUGAAAGUGCAUUCCAGACUGGUGACACAGCCCAGUGGCCCCAGGGCAGGGAGGGCACCCGCUGAGCUGCUGUUCUGGAAGAUUCCUGAGAUCUGAUUUCCCUGAAGAGGAGAGAAUGUGUUCUCAGGAAUACAGCCAUCCAGAGAGUGUGGGUGCUGAUGAUGAAGUUAGAAGAUGAACUGGUUGGGUACAGCUGAGUGGCCUGCCCUGCUAUCUGAACUCGAGUCCCACAGAUCAGCACCGUCGCCAGCUUCCUUGGCCAGCGUUGUAAAGUUGUGAUCUCUUUAGACAAUGUGGGGGAUGGAAACAGCCACAGUCACUGAAACGACAGGAGUCUCUUCGUUGGCCUAGACUGGCCAGUGUAGACUGGCUGGCUAGGGAGCCUCAUGGAUCCCCCGUCUCUGCUGCUCCAGCACCACAAUUACAAGGACAUGCUAUCACACCCAGCUUUUUACGUGCACACUGGGUACUGAAUUCAGGAGCUUUUGUCCCAACCUGUUGAUUUUUAGGUUUUUUUUGUUUUUGUUUUGUUUUUUUGAGACAGGAUCCCACUAAAUUGCCUUUAAACUUGUCAUCCUCCUGCCUCAGCUUCUGAUAGGCCUGGUUUUGUUUUCUUUCUGUCACACGUCUCUCUUUGAAUUCUCACCAUAUCCCCAUUUCUGGCUUCACUGAAGACUCCUAUCUGACUCCUUUGCCCCCAGUCCUAAGGCAAGGCCACCUAUGCCCACUCGAACCAUGUGUGGGGUGCCUCUUUAUAAGAAAGACUCUGCCCUCACCUCCCCAGCCCCCAACACAGUGUGACCAGCCUGGGGUCACUCCCACGUACCAGUCCACCAGGUCAAGGGCAUAGCCACAGACAUAGUCUCCCAAGUACUUUGUGUGUGGGCCUGCCUGGUUGGAUUCCUGUGGUCCAGGGGUGCAGCUCAGAGUCAGGGGACACCCCAGGGGCAGGCAGCAGGUUGGUAUAGAAAAUACAGGACAGAGACAGCAUGAAGAUUAGGGAAGAAGGUGCAGAGAAGCAGUGAGUUGGAGCUUUUUAUGUCUGCAGCUUCCUGUCUUCCAGCUCCUGAGGUCCUAGCACUAGCAGAGGAGCACUUGCUGUACAACCCUGACGGCCU